rnacentral:rRNA from 1 species
AAAUUGAAGAGUUUGAUCAUGGCUCAGAUUGAACGCUGGCGGCAGGCCUAACACAUGCAAGUCGAACGGUAGCACAGAGAGCUUGCUCUCGGGUGACGAGUGGCGGACGGGUGAGUAAUGUCUGGGAAACUGCCCGAUGGAGGGGGAUAACUACUGGAAACGGUAGCUAAUACCGCAUAACGUCGCAAGACCAAAGUGGGGGACCUUCGGGCCUCACACCAUCGGAUGUGCCCAGAUGGGAUUAGCUAGUAGGUGGGGUAACGGCUCACCUAGGCGACGAUCCCUAGCUGGUCUGAGAGGAUGACCAGCCACACUGGAACUGAGACACGGUCCA